rnacentral:rRNA from 1 species
AUUGAACGCUGGCGGCAGGCCUAACACAUGCAAGUCGAACGGUAACAGGAAGCAGCUUGCUGCUUUGCUGUCGAGUGGCGGACGGGUGAGUAAUGUCUGGGAAACUGCUCGAUGGAGGGGGAUAACUACUGGAAACGGUAGCUAAUACCGCAUAACGUCGCAAGACCAAAGAGGGGGACCUUAGGGCCUCUUGCCAUCGGAUGUGCCCAGAUGGGAUUAGCUAGUAGGUGGGGUAACGGCUCACCUAGGCGACGAUCCCUAGCUGGUCUGAGAGGAUGACCAGCCACACUGGAACUGAGACACGGUCCAGACUCCUACGGGAGGCAGCAGUGGGGAAUAUUGCGCAAUGGGCGCAAGCCUGAUGCAGCCAUGCCGCGUGUGUGAAGAAGGCCUUCGGGUUGUAAAGUACUUUCAGCGGGGAGGAAGAGAGUAAUGAUAAUACCUUUACUCAUUGACGUUACCCACAGAAGAAGCACCGGCUAACUCCGUG